rnacentral:misc_RNA from 1 species
GCAAACUUGGUCAUUUAGAGGAAGUAAAAGUCGUAACAAGGUUUCCGUAGGUGAACCUGCGGAAGGAUCAUUACAAGGUUUUUAAAAACCUCUCAAUCCACUGUGUGCACCGAUCGAAAUCAAAUCCCCUUCGCCAAUCCUUUCCCUCCUGAGGAGGAAGGAAGGAACGGAGUAGAGGGAUUUCUUUUUCAAUCCAGCCUGAACGCUGACUGACAAUCAUUUUUAUAAUUCAAAUACAACUUUCAACAACGGAUCUCUUGGCUCUCGCAUCGAUGAAGAACGCAGC